rnacentral:tRNA from 1 species
GGGCGUUUAGCUCAGUUGGGAGAGCGCCUGCCUUACAAGCAGGUGGUCGGGGGUUCAAGUCCCUCAGCGCCCACCA